GAUGAACGCUAGCUACAGGCUUAACACAUGCAAGUCGAGGGGAAACGACAUCGAAAGCUUGCUUUUGAUGGGCGUCGACCGGCGCACGGGUGAGUAACGCGUAUCCAACCUGCCCAUCACUUGGGAAUAACCUUGCGAAAGUAAGACUAAUACCCAAUGAUAUCCCACGAAGGCAUCGGAAUGGGAUUAAAGAUUUAUCGGUGAUGGAUGGGGAUGCGUCUGAUUAGCUUGUUGGCGGGGUAACGGCCCACCAAGGCAACGAUCAGUAGGGGUUCUGAGAGGAAGGUCCCCCACAUUGGAACUGAGACACGGUCCAAACUCCUACGGGAGGCAGCAGUGAGGAAUAUUGGUCAAUGGGCGAGAGCCUGAACCAGCCAAGUAGCGUGCAGGAAGACGGCCCUAUGGGUUGUAAACUGCUUUUAUAAGGGAAUAAAGUGGGUCACGUGUGACUUUUUGCGUGUACCUUAUGAAUAAGGACCGGCUAAUUCCGUG
rnacentral:rRNA from 1 species